ACUAAAGCUAGCCCCACCAUACCACAAUUUACUCCCCCCACCUUAAUAGACUAAAACAUUUAGACCCAUAAAAGUAUAGGAGAUAGAAAUUUUACUGAGGAGCUAUAGCGCACAGUACCGUAAGGGAAAGAUGAAAGAUAAAUUUAUAGUGAAAAACAGCAAAGAUUAGCCCUUCUACCUUUAGCAUAAUGAAUUAACUAGAAUAAGCUUGGCAAAAUGAAUUACAGUCAACUUUCCCGAAACCAGACGAGCUACUUAAAGUCAAUCUCCCCAAGGAUCAACUCAUCUAUGUAGCAAAAUAGUGAGAAGAACAUUAAGUAGAGGUGAAAAGCCAACCGAGCCUGGUGAUAGCUGGUUAUCCAAAAUAGAAUCUAAGUUCAACCUAAAAUUUACUAUAAGAACUUUAACUAAUCCCUCCACGUAAGUUUUAGAUAUAAUCAAAAGAGGUACAGCUCUUUUGACACAGGAUUCAACCUUAAUUAGAGAGUAAGAACUUAUCCAUACCAUAGUAGGCCUAAAAGCAGCCAUCAAUUAAGAAAGCGUUAUAGCUCAACAUUAAACUACAACAAAUCCCAUACAAACAUAACCAACUCCUAAAAAAUUAUUGGAUUACUCUAUAAGUAUAUAGAAGAAAUAAUGUUAAUAUAAGUAACAAGAAUAUAUUCUCCAUGCACAAAUCCAUAUCAGAUCGGAUAUACCACUGGUAGUUAACAACUAUAUAAAUAAAAAUACUACUAAACCACUUAUAAAUAUUACUGUUAACCCAACACAGGAGUGCAUCUCAGGAAAGAUUAAAAAAAGCAAAAGGAACUCGGCAAACUUGAAUCCCGCCUGUUUACCAAAAACAUCACCUCUAGCAUGACUAGUAUUAGAGGCACUGCCUGCCCAGUGACACACGUUAAACGGCCGCGGUACUCUGACCGUGCAAAGGUAGCAUAAUCAUUUGUUCUCUAAAUAAGGACUUGCAUGAAUGGCCACACGAGAAUUCAACUGUCUCUUGCUUUUUAUCAGUGAAAUUGACCUUCCCGUGAAGAGGCGGGUAUGCAACUAUAAGACGAGAAGACCCUAUGGAGCUUAAAUUAAUUAAUUCAACAACUCAAAUUACUAAGUGCUAAUAGCAUAUAUCUCUAGUUUCAUGAAUUAACAAUUUAGGUUGGGGUGACCUCGGAGCAUAAAAAACCCUCCGAAUGAUAUUAUGUUAAGACUCAACCAGUCUAAACUUCUACAUCACCAAUUGAUCCAUAUACUUGAUCAACGGAACAAGUUACCCUAGGGAUAACAGCGCAAUCCUAUUCUAGAGUCCCUAUCGACGAUAGGGUUUACGACCUCGAUGUUGGAUCAGGACAUCCCAAUGGUGUAGCAGCUAUUAAAGGUUCGUUUGUUCAACGAUUAAAGUCCUACGUGAUCUGAGUUCAGACCGGAGCAAUCCAGGUCGGUUUCUAUCUAUAUCUAAUUUUUCCCAGUACGAAAGGAAAAGAAAAAUAGAGCCUACUCCUGCAGAAGCGCUCUUAAAUUUAAUGGAUGAAUUUAUAUAAACCCAGAAAUUAAUACAAUAGUUAUCCUAGAACAGGAUAU
rnacentral:rRNA from 1 species